rnacentral:rRNA from 1 species
AUGCACGCUGGCGGCGUGCCUAAUACAUGCCAGUCGAGCGAACAGACGAGGAGCUUGCUCCUUUGACGUUAGCGGCGGACGGGUGAGUAACACGUAGGUAACCUACCUAUAAGACUGGGAUAACUUCGGGAAACCGGAGCUAAUACCGGAUAAUAUUUCGAACCGCAUGGUUCGAUAGUGAAAGAUGGCUUUGCUAUCACUUAUAGAUGGACCUGCGCCGUAUUAGCUAGUUGGUAAGGUAACGGCUUACCAAGGCAACGAUACGUAGCCGACCUGAGAGGGUGAUCGGCCACACUGGAACUGAGACACGGUCCAGACUCCUACGGGAGGCAGCAGUAGGGAAUCUUCCGCAAUGGGCGAAAGCCUGACGGAGCAACGCCGCGUGAGUGAUGAAGGUCUUCGGAUCGUAAAACUCUGUUAUUAGGGAAGAACAAACGUGUAAGUAACUGUGCACGUCUUGACGGUACCUAAUCAGAAAGCCACGGCUAACUACGUG